UCGGGCCUGGGGAUUACGGGCUCC
rnacentral:siRNA from 1 species